AACGUAGGUCCCGAGCGUUAUCCGGAUUUACUGGGCGUAAAGGGCGCGUAGGCGGCUUGCCAAGUCAGGGGUGAAAUCCUGCAGCUCAACUGUAGAAGUGCCUUUGAUACUGGCGAGCUCGAGGGAGGUAGGGGUGGGUGGAACUUCUGGUGGAGCGGUGAAAUGCGUUGAUAUCAGAAGGAACGCCGGUGGCGAAAGCGACCCACUGGAUCUCUACUGACGCUGAGGCGCGAAAGCUAGGGGAGCAAACGGG
rnacentral:rRNA from 1 species